rnacentral:rRNA from 1 species
AUACGUAGGGGGCAAGCGUUAUCCGGAAUUACUGGGUGUAAAGGGAGCGUAGGCGGCAUGGUAAGUUAGAUGUGAAAGCCCGUGGCUCAACCACGGGAUUGCAUUUAAAACUACCAAGCUAGAGUACAGGAGAGGUAAGUGGAAUUCCUAGUGUAGCGGUGAAAUGCGUAGAUAUUAGGAAGAACACCAGUGGCGAAGGCGACUUACUGGACUGAAACUGACGCUGAGGCUCGAAAGCGUGGGGAGCAAACAGGAUUAGAUACCCUGGUAGUCCACGCCGUAAACGAUGAGUGCUAGGUGUUGGGGGGGAACCCUCGGUGCCGCAGCUAACGCAUUAAGUACCCCGCCUGGGGAGUACGGCCGCAAGGCUAAA